AUGGGCAAGGACACUAUUGCUGAUUUACUAACCUCUAUAAGAAAUGCGGACAUGAAUAACAAAGGAACAGUUCGAGUAGUAUCUACAAAUAUUACCGAAAACAUUGUUAAAAUACUUCUACGAGAGGGUUUUAUUGAAACUGUUCGGAAACAUCAGGAACGUAACAAAUAUUUCUUGGUUUCAACUUUGCGACAUAAAAAGAGAAAGACUAGAAAAGGAAUAUAUAGAACAAGAACCUUUUUAAAGCGUAUCAGCCGACCCGGCUUACGAAUUUAUACCAACUAUCAAGGAAUUCCUAAAGUUUUGGGUGGAAUGGGAAUUGCUAUUCUUUCUACUUCUCGAGGAAUAAUGACAGAUUGA
rnacentral:rRNA from 1 species